GCGGAAGGUGGGAGCGGCGAUUGCCUACGGGACAGAGUUGGGGUUGGGUAGACCGCUUCCCGCGCGUUCGAGACGGGUUGGGGAGGAGCGCUUCACACCCUCACCUUCCUCCCCGCGGCCUCCACCGUCUCUCUCACCUACUUGCGGGGAGGCUCGUAACUUCUCCGCAGUCGUUACAGCGAGCAGGGCCUCUGCGGCCGCUACGGCUCCCCUGGGGCGGGGUUGCUUCGCAAGGACCACGGGCCCUAGGCCCGAGGAGGACCGCGGGCUCCAGGGGCGUGGAAUGGUGAGGUGGCGUCGGUCCGCCCUCCCCGGAGACGCGGAACGUGUUUGUGUUUGUGUUCGUGUCGGACACCCCGCCCCCCUCCACGUCCGCCUCGUCCAGGCCCCACCUCGCUCCCGCCACCUGGAACUGAUCUGCUCGCUAUCCCCUUUUCUUCCCUCAGCCCCCGAAACCUCCGGUGCUUGUUCACGCACUUCCAGGGACCGGCAGCCCGUCACCAUCACCUCUAGAGAAGAUUGAAAUGGAAAACUGGAAAAGUUGAUGAAUUUAUGCUCACAAAACCAAGUCGAAAAGCCAGGGCAGCUACGACAAGGUUGAAGUUCAUCCAUCAGAAGUGAAUGAAACAGAAGGGUCAACCUCCCUAAUCAUUUUGAUCACCAGGAUAAUGAUGACUGACCAAUUAGACUAGUCAUUGAUAUCCAGCAUAAAGAUGACCAUAACAGAUGUGAUCAUCCCCACUAGAGAUAAUUUAAUGGAAAACAACAACCAUUAAUAACACACGAUUGGAAGUAAGGAAACCUGGAUUUAGACUCCUGCCAAUGACAAAGAAUAUGAUCUAAAGUUAAUCACUCAAUCUUUCUGAGCCCUAGUUUCCACUUCUGUGAAAUUGUGGUUGGGAGUAAAUGACUUUCAUGUUUCUUAUUUGGCAUCAUUGCUGAUUCCUCUUCCAGCCAUGCCUUCAAGUGAUGGAGCUGAGGGUUUUCAUACUGGUAGAGAUGUCAGUUUGGAGCUGCUGGUAGCCAUCUUGGUAUCAUAAGGAGAGAGUCUACCUGAAAGAAAAACCAACAAAGAGAAAAAGUAGAGCUAUGAGUUGGAAAGACAGAGAGAUGAGAGGAGAACCAAUCUACCAAAAUUUUCUCAUUCCACAAAGAGGGAGCCACUAAAUGCACAAGGACUCUGCCAAGUGCUGAACACAGUUUCUGAUCUCCAGUGGGCAAACCAAGGAGGAAGGAAUGAUUGGUCACUAUGGAAUCACAGCUGAGAGUGAUAGACCAGCUGGCUGAGUAGGUUAAAAUCCUUUUCUGCGCCACUCUUAAUGCAGCUCUGUGGUUUUGUUCUAUAAGCAAG